GCUUACAGCCAUUCACCCUGAACAAGCCUGAUGUCUGAUCUCGGAAGCUAAGCAGGGUCGAGCUUGGUUAGUACUUGGAUGGGAGACCACCUAGGAAGACCAGGUGCUGUAGGCA
rnacentral:rRNA from 1 species